CCUACGGGAGGCAGCAGUGAGGAAUAUUGGUCAAUGGACGAGAGUCUGAACCAGCCAAGUAGCGUGAAGGAUGACUGCCCUAUGGGUUGUAAACUUCUUUUAUAUGGGAAUAAAUUGUUCCACGUGUGGGAUUUUGUAUGUACCAUAUGAAUAAGGAUCGGCUAACUCCGUGUCAGCAGCCGCGGUAAUACGGAGGGUCCGAGCGUUAUCCGGAUUUAUUGGGUUUAAAGGGAGCGUAGGUGGAUUGUUAAGUCAGUUGUGAAAGUUUGCGGCUCAACCGUAAAAUUGCAGUUGAAACUGGCAGUCUAGAGUACAGUAGAGGUAGGCGGAAUUCGUGGUGUAGCGGUGAAAUGCUUAGAGAUCACGAAGAACUCCGAUUGCGAAGGCAGCUCACUGGACUGCAACUGACACUGAGGCUCGAAAGUGUGGGUAGCGAACAGGAUUAGAUACCCUUGUAGUC
rnacentral:rRNA from 1 species